rnacentral:misc_RNA from 1 species
UCAGUGGCCAACGGUCGUCAGGAUCGUUGAGCUGCAUUGGCGGGAUUUCGCCGUCUUCGUUUCUCUUUCUUCGCGGACGAACACGCGCUGGGGCUGCAACCUUGCAGAAUCCCUGGUCCUUGACUGGAUAUGCGUUAGGGGCUUGUAGCUCAGUUGGUUAGAGCGCGCGCUUGAUAAGCGUGAGGUCGGAAGUUCAAGUCUUCCCAGGCCCACCACACUCAUCGAGUGAGCAUUCGUCUUCUGGUUACGGGGCCAUAGCUCAGCUGGGAGAGCGCGUGCUUUGCAAGCAUGAGGUCGUCGGUUCGAUCCCGUCUGGCUCCACCAGAUGGUUUGAUCACCGGCUGCUCAUACCGUCGUCCGCGAAACAUCACUUCGCACUUACUAGUCCGGAUGGACAGUAAGCUGCGUGAUUUCUGACAUCGUAAAGAGGAGAUCGAUCCGAGUUGGAUCGGGCAACAAGUAAUUGUUGCGCGAUACUUCAUUAUCUCCGGAUCAUUUCGGCGCUCGUGCGUCUUCCAUUGUAGCUCACAAGGCUGCUUUGAAAGACAAGCGAGUUGUAAAUGAUCCUUUUAGCGAAGCUUGACCGCCUCGCUAUCGGAACGAUCUUACGAAGCAAGCUGGUCUUUCUAAUCAUUGUCCGGCUGCAGAUAGCGUUCAUCGAGGGCGCGUGCCGCAAGGUAGUUCUGCAGACAACAUUCUGCCGAGUGUGUGGACAUUGAUAAUGAGAGCAAUCAAGUGCCUUAAGGGUGUUCGGUGGAUGCCUUGGCGCUGAGAGGCGAUGAAGGACGUGCUACGCUGCGAUAAGCCGUGGGGAGCUGCGAAGAAGCUUUGAUCCAUG